UGCCCGGUCAUCUAAUGGUAGGAUUUGCGACUCUGAAUCGCAAUAUCUUGGUUCGAAUCCAAGCUGGGCAGCCA
rnacentral:tRNA from 2 species